rnacentral:rRNA from 1 species
CCUACGAGUGGCAGCAGUGAGGAAUAUUGGUCAAUGGCCGAGAGGCUGAACCAGCCAAGUCGCGUGAGGGAAGACGGCCCUACGGGUUGUAAACCUCUUUUGUCGGGGAGCAAAGCGAGUCACGUGUGACUCAUUGAGAGUACCCGAAGAAAAAGCAUCGGCUAACUCCGUGCCAGCAGCCGCGGUAAUCCGGAGGAUGCGAGCGUUAUCCGGAUUUAUUGGGUUUAAAGGGUGCGCAGGCGGAGGUGCAAGUCAGCGGUCAAAUUGCGGGGCUCAACCCCGUACUGCCGUUGAAACUGCAGCCCUUGAGUGCGCGAGAAGUAUGCGGAAUGCGUGGUGUAGCGGUGAAAUGCAUAGAUAUCACGCAGAACUCCGAUUGCGAAGGCAGCAUACCGGCGCGCAACUGACGCUCAUGCACGAAAGCGUGGGUAUCGAACAGGAUUAGAUACCCGUGUAGUC